rnacentral:misc_RNA from 1 species
AAGUCGUAACAAGGUCUCCGUAGGUGAACCUGCGGAGGGAUCAUUAACACUAUUUGUUCUUUGAUGCAAAUCAAAGUUCAAAUGACCCUUUAAACCACUCGUGCACUAAGACUAACUGGUUUUAACAGCAAUGUUAAAAAUCUACUUGUCUUUCACUUUACGCCAAUGUACUGAUUCAGUUGAAGGAAAUCGAAAGAUUUUACUUCAAAAUAUUCAAUAAACUAAGCACAACUCUUAGCAACGGAUAUCUUGGUUCUC